rnacentral:rRNA from 1 species
UACGUAGGGUGCAAGCGUUAAUCGGAAUUACUGGGCGUAAAGCGUGCGCAGGCGGCUUUGCAAGACAGAUGUGAAAUCCCCGGGCUCAACCUGGGAACUGCAUUUGUGACUGCAUGGCUAGAGUGCGGCAGAGGGGGAUGGAAUUCCGCGUGUAGCAGUGAAAUGCGUAGAUAUGUGGAGGAACACCGAUGGCGAAGGCAGCCCCCUGGGUCAACACUGACGCUCAUGCACGAAAGCGUGGGGAGCAAACAGG